rnacentral:rRNA from 1 species
AGCGUAGGCGGCUCUUUAAGUUAGAAGUGAAAUCCCAAGGCUUAACCUUGGAACUGCUUCUAAGACUGGAGAGCUUGAGUGUGGGAGAGGAAAGUGGAAUUACUAGUGUAGCGGUGGAAUGCGUAGAGAUUAGUAGGAACACCAGUGGCGAAGGCGACUUUCUGGACCAUAACUGACGCUGAGGCUCGAAAGCGUGGGGAGCAAACAGGAUUAGAUACCCUGGUAGUCCACGCCGUAAACGAUGGAUACUAGAUGUAGGCGGUAUCGACUCCGCCUGUGUCGCAGCUAACGCAAUAAGUAUCCCGCCUGGGGAGUACGGCCGCAAGGUUGAA